AUCAAUAUUAAUUCAUUAUCAUCAAACUUAGGAUAUUUACCGAUUCCACUUUUUACGGAUUUACGUUUUCGACGAGAAAAUCACGGGUUUACGUUUUUGGCGGAAAAAUUAUGGAUUUACGUUUUUGGCAGGAAAAUCUCGGGUUUACGUUUUUGGCGGGAAAAUCUCGGGUUUACGUUUUUGGCGGAAAAAUCACGGGUUUAUGUUUUUUUGGUGAAAAAAUUACGAGUUUACUUUUUCUCAAUUUCAUCGUUUGUAUAUUUAAGAAAUUUGGAAAAAUAUUAAUUUUAUUAAAUUGGUUUAGAUGUGUUGAUUAAACUUAAAUUGACAUUGGUUUAGAGAUUUUAGUUGGUUUAAUUCAAUUUUACAAAACUUAAUGGGUUAAUUGGGUAAACCAUUGAAACCAUUAACCAUUAUAACCCAACUCAUUUUACUCAUCAAACCAAUUGACUCAUCAACUCAUUUGACCCAUCAACUCAUUUGAGUCAAAAUUUUCAACUCAUUAAGGUUCAUGGGUUGAGUUGAGUUGAGUUGACCUAUGAAUUUUGACCCAUUUUGACACUCCUAACUAUAUCUAUUAUCAUCAGAUCAAUGUACCGAGUUAUAAUUUAUUUUAAUAUAUUUU
rnacentral:sRNA from 1 species